UCGGGAAUUUUGGGCAAUGGGCGAAAGCCUGACCCAGCAACGCCGCGUGAAGGAUGAAGUAUUUCGGUAUGUAAACUUCGAAAGAAUAGGAAGAAUAAAUGACGGUACUAUUUAUAAGGUCCGGCUAACUACGUGCCAGCAGCCGCGGUAAUACGUAGGGACCAAGCGUUGUUCGGAAUUACUGGGCGUAAAGCGUGCGUAGGCGGCCGCGCAAGUCAGGUGUGAAAUCCCCGGGCUUAACCUGGGAAUUGCGCUUGAAACUAUGCGGCUUGAGUGUGGCAGAGGGGGGUGGAAUUCCACGUGUAGCAGUGAAAUGCGUAGAGAUGUGGAGGAACACCGAUGGCGAAGGCAGCCCCCUGGGCCAACACUGACGCUCAGGCACGAAAGCGUGGGGAGCAAACAGGAUUAGAUACCCAAGUAGUCCCUGAGCGGGCUGGCAAGGCGCAU
rnacentral:rRNA from 1 species